rnacentral:rRNA from 1 species
UACGUAGGGGGCUAGCGUUGUCCGGAAUCAUUGGGCGUAAAGAGCGUGUAGGCGGCCCGGUAAGUCCGCUGUAAAAGUCAAAGGCUCAACCUUUGAAUGUCAGUGGAUACUGCCGGGCUAGAGUCCGGAAGAGGAGAGUGGAAUUCCUGGUGUAGCGGUGAAAUGCGCAGAUAUCAGGAAGAACACCCGUGGCGAAGGCGGCUCUCUGGGACGGUACUGACGCUGAGACGCGAAAGCGUGGGUAGCGAACAGG